rnacentral:rRNA from 1 species
GACGAACGCUGGCGGCGUGCUUAACACAUGCAAGUCGAACGGAAAGGCCCCUUUGUGGGUACUCGAGUGGCGAACGGGUGAGUAACACGUGAGUAACCUGCCCUUGACUUCGGGAUAACUUCAGGAAACUGGGGCUAAUACCGGAUAGGAAUCCUUGCUGCAUGGUGGGGGUUGGAAAGCUUCGGCGGUUUUGGAUGGACUCGCGGCUUAUCAGCUUGUUGGUGGGGUAGUGGCUUACCAAGGCUUUGACGGGUAGCCGGCCUGAGAGGGCGACCGGCCACAUUGGGACUGAGAUACGGCCCAGACUGCUACGGGAGGCAGCAGUGGGGAAUAUUGCACAAGGGGCGGAAGCCUGAUGCAGCAACGCCGCGUGCGGGAUGACGGCCUUCGGGUUGGAAACCGCUUUCAGCAGGGGCGAAGCUUGUGGUGACGGUACCUGCAGAAGAAGCACCGGCUAACUACGUG